CAUAGAUAGUGUGGCCCGGGGACCCUGGGAUGCUGGAGCCUGGUCUGGAAUAGAUGCUUUCGGAGGAAGUCCUGGUGGGCUUCAGCUUUUCCUCCCUCU